UCUUGAGAAUUACUCAGCUAAGAAUAUUCUCAAAACCACCGCCAUAAAGCUACUUGAGAAUAUUCUUAGCUGAGUAAUUCUCAAGACUUGAGUUGAGAAUUUUCUCAAAUUCAUGUUCUCGCGAGACGGUUUUCGCGGAUUUUUUUCAACGCAUGAAGCGGCCCCAUGGAACUCUCUAGUGUUGAAAGAGCAAUAAAACGCAUUGGACAACGUGUAAACAAAACACUAUACGACACCAAAAGGAGGACCUGGGAGGAGGUUAAGAAAGAAUAUUAUAAUGUCAAAUCAAGAAGCAAAGAAAAGCUGGAUGGAGAUAAACGCCCA